rnacentral:rRNA from 1 species
UACGUAGGGUGCAAGCGUUAAUCGGAAUUACUGGGCGUAAAGCGUGCGCAGGCGGUCUGUUAAGACCGAUGUGAAAUCCCCGGGCUUAACCUGGGAACUGCAUUGGUGACUGGCAGGCUUUGAGUGUGGCAGAGGGAGGUAGAAUUCCACGUGUAGCAGUGAAAUGCGUAGAGAUGUGGAGGAAUACCGAUGGCGAAGGCAGCCGUCCUCGGCGGAACACUGACGCUCAUGCACGAAAGCGU